UACGAAGGGGGCUAGCGUUGCUCGGAAUCACUGGGCGUAAAGCGCACGUAGGCGGCUUUUUAAGUCAGGGGUGAAAUCCUGGAGCUCAACUCCAGAACUGCCUUUGAUACUGAGAAGCUUGAGUCCGGAAGAGGUGAGUGGAACUGCGAGUGUAGAGGUGAAAUUCGUAGAUAUUCGCAAGAACACCAGUGGCGAAGGCGGCUCACUGGCCCGGUACUGACGCUGAGGAGCGAAAGCGUGGGGAGCGAACAGG
rnacentral:rRNA from 1 species